rnacentral:sRNA from 1 species
GUUGGGCACAGUGGCGCACGCCUGUAAUCCCAGCAGCUCAGGAGGCUGAGACAGGAGGAUCUCAAGUUCAAAGCCAGCCUCAGCAAUGGCAAGACACUAAGCAACUCAGUAAGACCCUGUCUCUA